CAGCAGCCGCGGGAAUACGUAGGUGGCAAGCGUUGUCCGGAAUUAUUGGGCGUAAAGGGCUCGCAGGCGGUUUCUUAAGUCUGAUGUGAAAGCCCCCGGCUCAACCGGGGAGGGUCAUUGGAAACUGGGAAACUUGAGUGCAGAAGAGGAGAGUGGAAUUUCACGUGUAGCGGUGAAAUGCGUAGAGAUGUGGAGGAACACCAGUGGCGAAGGCGACUCUCUGGUCUGUAACUGACGCUGAGGAGCGAAAGCGUGGGGAGCGAACAGGAUUAGAUACCCCAGUAGUCCCUGUCUCUUAUAU
rnacentral:rRNA from 1 species